UAUCUCUGUAGAGUCUGCAUAUCAAUAAGCGGAGGAAAAGAAACUAACUAGGAUUCCCUUAGUAACGGCGAGUGAAGCGGGAAGAGCUCAAAUUUGAAAUCUUCAAGGUUUUACCUUGACGAAUUGUAGUUUAAAGAAGUGUUUUCUGUUGGUGUUUUGGUAAAAGUUCUUUGGAAUAGGACAUCAUAGAGGGUGAGAAUCCCGUAUUUGACCAUUACUUCCAGCGUUGUGAUACACUUUCAAAGAGUCGGAUUGUUUGGGAAUGCAGUCCAAAAUGGGUGGUAAAUUUCAUCUAAAGCUAAAUAUUGGCGAGAGACCGAUAGCGAACAAGUUACCGUGAGGGAAAGAUGAAAAGAACUUUGAAAAGAGAGUUAAACAGUACGUGAAAUUGUCAAAAGGGAAGCGUUUGACACCAGUGUUGUUUUCUCGAAAAUCAAUUAAAAAAGGCAGGAUUUUGUGUUGUAUUGACUUUAUCAGCUUUCUGCACUCUUUUCUUGUCUUUUUUUAAUGCACUUUUCGUUUAACAAGUCAACAUCAAUUUCUUUUGUUGUAAAAGGGUCAUUGGAAGGUGGCUUUCUUUUCGGAGAAAGUGUUUAUAGCCUUUGGCCUCUGCAAUCGGAGAGAUUGAGGUCUGCAGCGUAGAUCCUUCGGGGUUAGAUACGUAGAUGCUAAGUUAUAGUUUUUUAUAGACAACUUGUUGACUAUAAUUAAUCAUGUAGCUUACUCGUUUGCGCUAUUUUACCUACGCUUAGGAUGUUGAAGAUGUAGCACAUCAU
rnacentral:rRNA from 1 species